UCUUGUCUCGGAGGACAUUAACGAGUAAACAGGAGAGUUGUAGCUGGCCGCAAGGCAUGUGCACGCUCUCUACUCAAUCCAACCUUACACCUGUGCACCUAUUGUAGGUCGAGUGGCUGGACUUGUUCUGGUCGCUCUUCCUAUGUUCUACACAUACACUUGUAGUCUCAGAAUGUAAUCAGCGUAUAACGCAUUAUAAAACAACUUUCAACAACGGAUCUCUUGGCUCUCGCAUCGAUGAAGAACGCAGCGAAAUGCGAUAAGUAAUGUGAAUUGCAGAAUUCAGUGAAUCAUCGAAUCUUUGAACGCACCUUGCGCUCCUUGGUAUUCCGAGGAGCAUGCCUGUUUGAGUGUCAUGAAUAUCUCAACUCACCCGGUUUUUAUUAACUGUGGUGGGCUUGGACUUGGAGGUAUGCUGGCUGACUAGUCGGCUCCUCUCUAAAUGCAUUAGCUGGACCUGUUAUGGAUCAGUACUCGGUGUGAUAAUUGUCUACGCCGUGUCUGUGAAGUGCUUGAAUGGACUAGCUUCUAACCGUCUUCGGACAACUAUUGACAUUUUGACCUCAAAUCAGGUAGGAUUACCCGCUGAACUUAAGCAUAUCUAAAACCGGAAGGAAGUU
rnacentral:rRNA from 1 species